rnacentral:pre_miRNA from 1 species
GAUGAAAUUGCUGGGUCAUAUGUUAACUUUAAAUUUUAAAGUAAUUGGCGAACUGUUUUCCAGAGUGGCUGUACCAUUUUAUAUUCCUAACGGCAAU